rnacentral:rRNA from 1 species
UGGGGAAUAUUGCACAAUGGGCGCAAGCCUGAUGCAGCAACGCCGCGUGGAGGAAGACGGUUUUCGGAUUGUAAACUCCUGUUCUUAGUGAAGAAUAAUGACGGUAGCUAAGGAGCAAGCCACGGCUAACUACGUGCCAGCAGCCGCGGUAAUACGUAGGUGGCAAGCGUUGUCCGGAAUUACUGGGUGUAAAGGGAGCGCAGGCGGGAAAUCAAGUCAGCUGUGAAAUCUAUGGGCUUAACCCAUAAACUGCAGUUGAAACUGUUUUUCUUGAGUGAAGUAGAGGUUGGCGGAAUUCCGAGUGUAGCGGUGAAAUGCGUAGAUAUUCGGAGGAACACCGGUGGCGAAGGCGGCCAACUGGGCUUUUACUGACGCUGAGGCUCGAAAGUGUGGGGAGCAAACAGGAUUAGAUACCCUGGUAGU